rnacentral:rRNA from 1 species
CACGUAGGGUGCGAGCGUUGUCCGGAAUUAUUGGGCGUAAAGAGCUCGUAGGCGGUGUGUCGCGUCGGCCGUGAAAACCUGCAGCUUAACUGUGGGCGUGCGGUCGAUACGGGCAUCACUGGAGUUCGGCAGGGGAGACUGGAAUUCCUGGUGUAGCGGUGAAAUGCGCAGAUAUCAGGAGGAACACCGGUGGCGAAGGUGGGUCUCUGGGCCGAUACUGACGCUUAGGAGCGAAAGCGUGGGGAGCGAACAGG